rnacentral:rRNA from 1 species
CCUACGGGAGGCAGCAGUGGGGAAUAUUGGACAAUGGGGGCAACCCUGAUCCAGCCAUGCCGCGUGUGUGAAGAAGGCCCUCGGGUUGUAAAGCACUUUCAGUGAGGAAGAACGCCUGGUGGUUAAUACCCAUCAGGAAAGACAUCACUCACAGAAGAAGCACCGGCUAACUCCGUGCCAGCAGCCGCGGUAAUACGGAGGGUGCGAGCGUUAAUCGGAAUUACUGGGCGUAAAGCGCGCGUAGGUGGCUUGAUAAGCCGGUUGUGAAAGCCCCGGGCUCAACCUGGGAACGGCAUCCGGAACUGUCAAGCUAGAGUGCAGGAGAGGAAGGUAGAAUUCGCGGUGUAGCGGUGAAAUGCGUAGAGAUCGGGAGGAAUACCAGUGGCGAAGGCGGCCUUCUGGACUGACACUGACACUGAGGUGCGAAAGCGUGGGUAGCAAACAGGAUUAGAUACCCUAGUAGUC